rnacentral:rRNA from 1 species
GACGAACGCUGGCGGCGUGCUUAACACAUGCAAGUCGAACGGUGAAACAGGAGCUUGCUCCUGCGGAUCAGUGGCGAACGGGUGAGUAACACGUGAGUAACCUGCCCCAGACUCUGGGAU